CGGUGUUUAACUGGCGUGAUGUGGGACGUCCUACCGGUGGGCUUAGCCUCGCGAGGGGCGGCCCAACUAAUAUCCCGUCGCGGUGCUCUUUACUGAGUGUCGAGUCGGGCCGGUACGUUUACUUUGAACAAAUUAGAGUGCUUAAAGCAGGCUAUCCUCGCCUGAAUACUGCGUGCAUGGAAUAAUGGAAUAGGACCUCGGUUCUAUUUUGUUGGUUUUCGGAACCCCGAGGUAAUGAUUAAUAGGGACAGAUGGGGGCAUUCGUAUUGCGACGUUAGAGGUGAAAUUCUUGGAUCGUCGCAAGACGGACAGAAGCGAAAGCAUUUGCCAAAAAUGUUUUCAUUAAUCAAGAACGAAAGUUAGAGGUUCGAAGGCGAUCAGAUACCGCCCUAGUUCUAACCAUAAACGAUGCCAGCUAGCGAUCCGCCGAAGUUCCUCCGAUGACUCGGCGGGCAGCUUCCGGGAAACCAAAGCUUUUGGGUUCCGGGGGAAGUAUGGUUGCAAAGCUGAAACUUAAAGGAAUUGACGGAAGGGCACCACCAGGAGUGGAGCCUGCGGCUUAAUUUGACUCAACACGGGAAACCUCACCCAGGCCCCAGACACCCGGAAGGAUUGACAGAUUGAUAGCUCUUUCUUGAUUCGGUGGGUGGUGGUGCAUGGGCCGUUCUUAGUUGGUGGAGCGAUUUGUCUGGUUAAUUCCGAUAACGAACGAGACUCUAGCCUGCUAAAUAGGCGUACCUUAUGGUAUCGCGAAGGCCCCCGGCUUCGGCCGGUGGGUUUUUACUACCAACGUACAAACAAAUCUUCUUAGAGGGACAGGCGG
rnacentral:rRNA from 1 species